UAUGGUCUUUUAUUUCAGAUGACUCCGGUCCUCAAGCAAGAAAGCAUUCCAGGACGGAGUGUGUGUCUAGAAGCCCUGUCUGUAAGUUAACAUUUAUACAUGCAUUUAAGAAACCAGAGUCAUAUUCCUACCAUGGAACUACUGACACUCAACCUGGUGCUUAUCAUGUGACUGUUCUGAUGUGUUUGUCUCUUCCUGCCUUUUUUCAGGUCAGUAGACAUCACUGCCACCACCACCUGCAUAUGAGUCAACACCACACAGGAAACCAGCUGAUCGCCCAGAGCUGGAUGGGUGUAUUCUAACGCAAGCUCGGCCUCCCACUUCAUCUUGGGACCCAGUUGAAGCAACUUUUCCUGACAAGCCCGGAGGUUCGACCGGAGGUACUGCCAUCCGUCACAUGCUACGGCGAGUCGCAACCAAUGAUGUUCUAAAACUGUAUAUCCUGCGGGGCAGAAAGGGAAAGAAGGCCUUCCAGGACCUGACUAUCUGCAGGGUUAUAACAG